GAUCUUGCACAAUGGGGGAAACCCUGAUGCAGCGACGCCGCGUGAGCGAAGAAGGCCUUCGGGUCGUAAAGCUCUGUCCUUGGGGAAGAAGGCGAAAGCUUGACGGUACCCAAGAAGAAAGCCCCGGCUAACUACGUGCCAGCAGCCGCGGUAAUACGUAGGGGGCGAGCGUUGUCCGGAAUUACUGGGCGUAAAGGGUGCGUAGGCGGCCUUUUAAGUCAGAUGUGAAAGGCUGCGGCUUAACCGCAGGACUGCAUUUGAAACUGGAAGGCUUGAGUGUCGGAGAGGGUAGUGGAAUUCCCAGUGUAGCGGUGAAAUGCGUAGAUAUUGGAAGGAACACCAGUGGCGAAGGCGACUACCUGGACGAUAACUGACGCUGAGGCACGAAAGCUAGGGGAGCAAACAGG
rnacentral:rRNA from 1 species